UACGUAGGCAGCGAGCGUUGUUCGGAGUUACUGGGCGUAAAGGGUGCGUAGGCGGUUGUUUAAGUUUGGUGUGAAAUCUCCCGGCUCAACUGGGAGGGUGCGCCGAAUACUGAAUGACUAGAGUGCGGGAGAGGAUAGUGGAAUUCCUGGUGUAGCGGUGAAAUGCGUAGAUAUCAGGAGGAACACCGGUGGUGUAGACGGCUAUCUGGACCGUAACUGACGCUGAAGCACGAAAGCGUGGGGAGCGAACAGG
rnacentral:rRNA from 1 species